UACGUAGGCAGCGAGCGUUGUUCGGAGUUACUGGGCGUAAAGCGUGCGUAGGCGGUGUCUUAAGUUUGUUGUGAAAUCUCCCGGCUUAACCGGGAGGGUGCGGCGAAUACUGAGAUGCUGGAGUGCCGGAGAGGUAAGCGGAAUUCCUGGUGUAGCGGUGAAAUGCGUAGAUAUCAGGAGGAACACCUGCGGUGUAGACGGCUUACUGGACGGUAACUGACGCUGAGGCACGGAAGCGUGGGUAGCAAACAGG
rnacentral:rRNA from 1 species